rnacentral:tRNA from 1 species
UUGGAUCCGUCGGGACUGACGGGGCUCGAACCCGCAGCUCCGC